AGUAAGGUCAGCUAAANUAAGCUAUCGGGCCCAUACCCCGAAAAUGUNGGUU
rnacentral:tRNA from 1 species